rnacentral:rRNA from 1 species
AUUGAACGCUGGCGGCAGGCCUAACACAUGCAAGUCGAGCGAGCGGUGGACGGGUGAGUAAUGUAUGGGGACUGCCCGAUAGAGGGGGAUAACUACUGUAAACGGUGGCUAAUACCGCAUACUAUCGGAUAACCCAUAUUGGAUUAGCUAGUAGGUGGGGUAAAGGCUCACAGAGGCGACGCUCUCUAGCUGGUCUGAGAGGAUGAUCAGCCACACUGGGACUGAGACACGGCCCAGACUCCUACGGAGGCAGCAGUGGGGAAGAGUGCACAAUGGGCGCAAGCCUGAUGCAGCCAUGCCGCGUGUAUGAAGAAGGCCUUAGGGUUGUAAAGUACUUUCAGCGGGGAGGCGUUACCCGCAGAAGAAGCACCGGCUAACUCCGUGCCAGCAGCCGCGGUAAUUC